GACGAACGCUGGCGGCGUGCUUAACACAUGCAAGUCGAACGGAAAGGCCCUGCUUGCUGGGUCCUCGAGUGGUGAACGGGUGAGUAACACGUUUGUGUUCUGCCCUGCACUUCGGGAUAAGCCUGGAUAACUGGGUCUAUUACCGGACAGGAGCUAUUUUUCGUUUGAUUGUUGCAAAGUUUUUUCGGUGUAGGAUUAGCUCGGGGCCUUUCAGCUUGUUGGUGGGGUAAUGGCUUACCAAGGCGGCUACGGGUAGCCGGCCUUGGAGGGUGGCCGGGCACAGUGGGACUGGGAUAGGGACCAGACCCAGACGGGAGGGAGAAGUGGGGAAGAUUGAAAAAGGGGAGCAAGCGAGAUGCAGCGCCGCCGCGGGGGGGAUGACGACGAUCGGGUUGGAAACGCAUUGCGCUAGGGACGAAGCUUUUAGUGACAGUACCUAGAGAAGAAGCACCGGCUAACUACGUG
rnacentral:rRNA from 1 species